AUGCCCUUCGGGGCUCCUUGGNGAUUCAUAAUAACUUAACGAAUCGCAUGGCCUUGCGCCGGCNAUGGUUCAUUCAAAUUUCUGCCCUAUCAACUUUCGAUGGUAAUGUANNGGAUUACCAUGGUGUCAACGGGUAACGGGGAAUUAGGGUUCGAUUCCGGAGAGGGAGCCUGAGAAACGGCUACCACAUCCAAGGAAGGCAGCAGGCGCGCAAAUUACCCAAUCCCGAUACGGGGAGGUAGUGACAAUAAAUACUGAUACAGGGCUCUUUUGGGUCUUGUAAUUGGAAUGAGUACAAUUUAAAUCCCUUAACGAGGAACAAUUGGAGGGCAAGUCUGGUGCCAGCAGCCGCGGUAAUUCCAGCUCCAAUAGCGUAUAUUAAAGUUGUUGCAGUUAAAAAGCUCGUAGUUGAACCUUGGGCCUGGCUGUCCGGUCCGCCUCACCGCGUGCACUGGCUCGGCCGGGCCUUUCCUCCUGGGGAACGGNAUGCCCUUCAUUGGGUGUGUCCGGGAUCCAGGACUUUUACUUUGAAAAAAUUAGAGUGUUCAAAGCAGGCAUAUGCUCGAAUACAUUAGCAUGGAAUAAUGGAAUAGGACGGUGGUU
rnacentral:rRNA from 1 species